rnacentral:rRNA from 1 species
UACGGAGGGUGCCAGCGUUGCUCGGAAUCACUGGGCGUAAAGGGCGCGUAGGCGGCCUAGCAAGUCUGGUGUGAAAGCCCAGGGCUCAACCCUGGAAGGGCACUGGAAACUGUUAGGCUUGAGUUCCGGAGAGGAGGGGGGAAUUCCCGGUGUAGCGGUGAAAUGCGUAGAUAUCGGGAGGAAUACCGGUGGCGAAGGCGCCCCUCUGGACGGAAACUGACGCUGAGGCGCGAAAGCGUGGGGAGCAAACCGG